AACUGUUCUAUUCAACAAUAUGUUACCACAUAUAUUACCAAAGCAAACUUAUAGAAACAUGUUGACCUUUUUCAGUUGUGAGUUACAAAUAUCUCAAACGCAUUAAGAAGGCACACCUGUUAAUUGAAAUGCAUUCCUGGUGACUAACUCAUGAAGCUGGUUGAGAGAAUGCCAUGCUGUCAUCAAGGUAAAAGGGUGGCUAUUUGAAGAAUCUCAAAUAUAUCAAAUAUAUUUUAAUUUGUUUAACACUUUUUUUUUUUGGUUACUACAUGAUUCCAUGUGUUAUUUCAUAGUGCUGAUCUUCACUAUUAUUCUACAAUGUAGAAAAUAGUCAAAAUAAAGAAAAAUCCUUGAGUAGGUGGUGUCAACUUGACUGGUAUCAGACCUACCAACAUGCUCGCAUUUGACUGGUAUCAGACCUACCAACAUGCUCGCAUUUGACUGGUAUCAGACCUACCAACAUGCUCGCAUUUGACUGGUAUCAGACCUACCAACAUGCUCGCAUUUGACUGGUAUCAGACCUACCAACAUGCUCGCAUUUGACUGGUAUCAGACCUACCAACAUGCUCACAUUUUAGUACCAACUACACAAUUCUCUGUCCAUGUACUCAUUUUUAUAAAAAAUAAAUCCACUGAGUAAAUCACGCAACCUGAUAGACUGUAAUUAUGAUUAAUGUCACAAAAAAAACAUUACAAAAGUAUAAUAAAAAAUACAUCUUGGCAUUAAAUGGAGUGGGGAGUUUAGAAGACUGCGCGAUGAAGAGUGAGUGUCCGGUAUUAGCUAUAGAGGCAAAGCUUCUAAAAUGCCUUUACACUAGAUUUGAUAUUUGAUCAAUUUCGAAAAUGUCAAAUGAUUUAUGAGAAGCAUGUCACAGAGAAGCAUUCUUUAGAUCCUGGCUUGUGAUGUCAGAGAGAAGCGUUCUUUAGGUCCUGGCCUGUGAUGUCACAGAGAAGCGUUCUUUAGGUCCUGGCCUGUGAUGUCACAGAGAAGCGUUCUUUAGGUCCUGGCCUGUGAUGUCACAGAGAAGCGUUCUUUAGGUCCUGGCCUGUGAUGUCACAGAGAAGCGUUCUUUAGGUCCUGGCCUGUGAUGUCACAGAGAAGCGUUCUUUAGGUCCUGGCCUGUGAUGUCACAGAGAAGCGUUCUUUAGGUCCUGGCCUGUGAUGUCACAGAGAAGCGUUCUUUAGAUCCUGGCCUGUGAUGUCACAGAGAAUCGUUCUUUAGGUCCUGGCCUGUGAUGUCACAGAGAAGCGUUCUUUAGGUCCUGGCCUGUGAUGUCACAGAGAAGCGUUCUUUAGGUCCUGGCCUGUGAUGUCACAGAGAAGCGUUCUUUAGGUCCUGGCCUGUGAUGUCACAGAGAAGCGUUCUUUGGUGCCUGGCCUGUGAUGUCACAGAGAAGCGUUCUUUAGGUCCUGGCCUGUGAUGUCACAGAGAAGCGUUCUUUAGAUCCUGGCCUGUGAUGUCACAGAGAAUCGUUCUUUAGGUCCUGGCCUGUGAUGUCACAGAGAAGCGUUCUUUAGGUCCUGGCCUGUGAUGUCACAGAGAAGCGUUCUUUAGGUCCUGGCCUGUGAUGUCACAGAGAAGUGUUCUUUAGGGCCUUUUAGCCACAGAUCAUAUAAACAGUUUUCACAUGGAGACUCUGGUUUGGUGCUGGAGAUGAUGAAUAUGAGGUUGAGAAGUGGUGGGAUAAACGCUGACUGUACUAUAUCUUGUAAAUAAGACUACGUGGUUGGGACGACGCCCACUAGUCAUUUAUAUAUAUAUAUCUUGUAAAUAAGACUACAUGGUUGGGACAACGCCCCACUAGUCAUUUAUAUAAAGACUAACCCAUUUAUUAGGUUGCUGGACUUCAUAAGUCCUUGGCCUUCCAACCUCACUUGUUUUCUUUGGUGCAAAUAAAACAGAUCAAAACAAUGAGCUGAUGAGACGCGAUUUCGCCGUAGAAAAGCUUCUCUCUCGUCAGGACACUGUUCAUGACAGAUGAUCUCAUAUCAAACACUAGGCUAGUAAAUACGUCAAUAGGACACCUUCUGAACUUCCGGGUUGGAGCGAGCGGUCGCAUCCGCACUUCGGUCCGCAGGUAGUAUAACUUUUCAUUACAUUUCAUUAUAGUACAACGGUUUGAUUUGUCUAAUCUUAGCAAUUUCUUCUUAGCUAGCUACAUAGCCGUCUUUGUAUCAAAGAUAAUUGCGUAAUUAUCGUAUUUCGUCGUCCUAACGUAGUCUACACUGCUAUCUGCCCAGCAGCUAGCCAGCUAGCAAACGUCCACCGUCUACCGAAUAGCAGCACUGUAGAAACUAUUACACUCAACUGAACGACUUGAUUAGUGUAGUGUUAGCUAGCUACAUAGUUGUCUUUGCUGUCUACGUAUCCAAGAUAAUUGUGUAGUUUAGAGUGUGUAGUCUUAGAGUGAUUAUCUUAAUUUACCGAGGUUAGCUAGCCAGCUAUUUGUCAUCCUUAACGUAGGAGACACUGCUAGCUAGCCAACAGCUAGCCAACGUCUACCGAAUAGAACUUCCGCACUCAACAACCCGGUCGCAUUCCGCUUCGCUCCACAGGUAGUAUCACAUUUUCAUUUCAUUUCAUUACAGCACAACGGUUUAAUUUGUUUGAUCGUAGCUAGCUACAUAGCUAGCUACAUAGCCGUCUUUGUAUCAAAGAUAAUUGUGUAGUCUAGAGCGAUUUUCUAGGUUAGCUAGCCAGCUAUUGUCGUUCUUUUAACGCAACGUAACGUAAUCAACACUGCUAGCUAGCCCCCGAAUAGCAGCACUGUAGAAACUAUUACACUCAACGGAACGACUUGAUUAGUGUAGUGUCAACAACGCAGCCACUGCCAGCUAGCCUACUUCAGCAGUACUGUAUCAUUUUAAUCAUUUUAGUCAAUAAGAUUCUUGCUACGUAAGCUUAACUUUCUGAACAUUCGAGACGUGUAGUCCACUUGUCAUUCCAAUCUCCUUGCAUUAGCGUAGCCUCUUCUGUAGCCUGUCAACUAUGUGUCUGUCUAUCCCUGUUCUCUCC